UUUAAAUCUUAAACAUAUUUGUCAUACCCGACGUUCACGCACAGCUUAGUUUUCGAUUUAUACUAUGUUGUCAUAAUAAGUUAAACUAUGUUCGAUUUGUACGAGGGUAUUUUAGCCCAGUGUGGAUUGUGUUGAUGUUUUUAUCGCUCGCCAUGUCAGAUCCGUUCGAUCGGUUUUGUUGCUUCAGUUUUGGGAAUUUGAAAUUGAGGAAAUUUCGUAGUUAAAAUGUGUCUUAAUAUUAUCAGGCUGGGCUGAAGUGGAAUGACGAUGCUGCCGCAGCAGCUGCUUUGGGUUCCCAGCCAGCAUCAUUGGUGAAUGUGUGGUCAAAACGAGUUCACGGUAGGAAAAGACUUCCACUGCUGCUUCGAGUGCCGAACCAAAACACGCGGACCGAGCUGGAGGCUGAAUUCUACCAGAACCGGCCGGUUGGAAUUGAUGCCGUUGACGGGAGAAUCAUUCAAAACAAGCAUGUACAUAAGCAACAGAAGGGAAAAAUGGAAAAACUACAACCUGCUGGACUAAACGGAACUGGUGGCGAUGGGAACCGGUUCGACAUCCAAGCUGACGGUUGCUGCAACUGUGGACGACAUAUUUUGUCGGUCGGAGGAGACGUUUAUCGGCAAGAAUAGAAUGGUUUGGAAGCGGAGGAAGCACCAAUUCGGGGAGUAAAACAGUUCUGCGCCGACUUCCGGCAUGGCGUUGGCCAAGAAUCGCGAUCCGAGCAAAGAAGUUUGCUAUGAUUUGUCCAAGGUUCCUCCAGGUAACAAGUUGGCCGGCAUCGUGAGCACCAACUCCGAUCGAAGGGUUCAUCAACGACACUGGACGGGGCACAACGACACUGGGCGGCAACGACAAGCGGUAGAAGUGCAGAAACAGCAACAAAAUGCUGCGCUUUAGAAGGGAAUGUUGACUUCUGCGAUGAACGCAAAUGGAAGAUUAAGCUGCGGAACUGCAGAAACUGCCUCCGUCCGCCCGGGUUUGAUCCGCGCCAGUAUGCUCUCGCAUGUGGGUCAAAUUAAUCUAACGGGAAGCAGAACUCCCAGCCACCAGGAGAACACCAACUUCAAUUCAAACAAAAUCAACAUCAGGCCGGGCGAUUCCGAAUGGUUUUUCACACCGGAUACCUGAGGGACCACUGGGAGACAAUCAAGCGCUGUGCGAAAAGACAUCAGCCACUUGCACGGUGGUCAGCGCUGGAGGAUCUUCAUGCGGAGAAUAUUCCUGGCCUGGCGAGCUUGUGUGGGUGCUGUUUGACCAAUUGUAGCAUUGAAUAAUGUAAUCAUCAUUAAUAAAUAAAGAUGUUUUAGGGUAAAUUUA